rnacentral:misc_RNA from 1 species
AGUCGUAACAAGGUUUCCGUAGGUGAACCUGCGGAAGGAUCAUUACAGAAUGAAAAGUGCUUAACUGCAUUUUUUCUUACACAUGUGUUUUUCUUUUUUUGAAAACUUUGCUUUGGUAGGCCUUCUAUAUGGGGCCUGCCAGAGAUUAAACUCAACCAAAUUUUAUUUAAUGUCAACCGAUUAUUUAAUAGUCAAAACUUUCAACAACGGAUCUCUUGGUUCUCGCAUCGAUGAAGAACGCAGCGAAAUGCGAUAAGUAAUAUGAAUUGCAGAUAUUCGUGAAUCAUCGAAUCUUUGAACGCACAUUGCGCCCUUUGGUAUUCCAAAGGGCAUGCCUGUUUGAGCGUCAUUUCUCCCUCAAACCCUCGGGUUUGGUGUUGAGCGAUACGCUGGGUUUGCUUGAAAGAAAGGCGGAGUAUAAACUAAUGGAUAGGUUUUUUCCACUCAUUGGUACAAACUCCAAAACUUCUUCCAAAUUCGACCUCAAAUCAGGUAGGACUACCCGCUGAACUUAAGCAUAUCAAUAAGCGGAGG